GACGAACGCUGGCGGCGUGCUUAACACAUGCAAGUCGAACGGAAAGGCCCUGCUUUUGUGGGGUGCUCGAGUGGCGAACGGGUGAGUAACACGUGAGUAACCUGCCCUUGACUUUGGGAUAACUUCAGGAAACUGGGGCUAAUACCGGAUAGGAGCUCCUGCUUCAUGGUGGGGGUUGGAAAGUUUCGGCGGUUGGGGAUGGACUCGCGGCUUAUCAGCUUGUUGGUGGGGUAGUGGCUUACCAAGGCUUUGACGGGUAGCCGGCCUGAGAGGGUGACCGGCCACAUUGGGACUGAGAUACGGCCCAGACUCCUACGGGAGGCAGCAGUGGAGAAUAGUGCACAAUGGGCGGAAGCCUGAUGCAGCAACGCCGCGUGCGGGAUGACGGCCUUCGGGUUGUAAACCGCUUUCGCCUGUGACGAAGCGUGAGUGACGGUAAUGGGUAAAGAAGCACCGGCUAACUACGUG
rnacentral:rRNA from 1 species